rnacentral:SRP_RNA from 1 species
GCCGGGCGCAGUGGUGCGUGCCUGUAGUCCCAGCUACUUGGGAGGCUGAGGUGGGAGGAUCGCUUGAGCCCAGGAGUUCUGGGCUGUAGUGCGCUAUGCCGAUCGGGUGUCCGCACUAAGUUCAGCAUCAAUAUAGUGACCUCCCGGGAGCAGGGGACCACCAAGUUGCCUAAGGAGCGGUCCUGAACCAGUCCAGGUCGGAAACGGAGCAGGUGAAAACUCCAGUGCCGAUCAGUAAUGGGAUUACACCUGUGAAUAGCCACUACACUCCCACUUGGGCAACAUAGCGAGACCCUGUCUCU